rnacentral:rRNA from 1 species
UCCCAGACUCCUACGGGAGGCAGCAGUGGGGAAUAUUGCGCAAUGGGCGAAAGCCUGACGCAGCGACGCCGCGUGAGGGAUGAAGGUCUUCGGAUCGUAAACCUCUGUCAGCAGGGAAGAACGGUCACUGUGCUAAUCAGCAGUGAAUUGACGGUACCUGCAAAGGAAGCACCGGCUAACUCCGUGCCAGCAGCCGCGGUAAUACGGAGGAUGCGAGCGUUAUCCGGAUUUAUUGGGUUUAAAGGGUGCGCAGGCGGAAUGUCAAGUCAGCGGUAAAAUUUCGGGGCUCAACCCCGUCGUGCCGUUGAAACUGGCGUUCUUGAGUGAGCGAGAAGUGUGCGGAAUGCGUGGUGUAGCGGUGAAAUGCAUAGAUAUCACGCAGAACUCCGAUUGCGAAGGCAGCAUACCGGCGCUCAACUGACGCUCAUGCACGAAAGCGUGGGUAUCGAACAGGAUUAGAUACCCUCGUA